rnacentral:rRNA from 1 species
GACGUAGGGGGCGAGCGUUGUCCGGAAUCAUUGGGCGUAAAGAGCGCGUAGGCGGCCCGGAAAGUGGGGUGUGAAAACCCGAGGCUCAACCUCGGGCGUGCACUCCAAACUCCCGGGCUCGAGGCAGGUAGGGGAGAUCGGAAUUCCUGGUGUAGUGGUGAAAUGCGUAGAGAUCCGGAUGAACACCAGUGGCGAAAGCGGCCACCUGGACUGUACCUGACGCUCAAACACGAAAGCUAGGGGAGCGAACGGG